GAGAGAGUCCCAGCCUCUCUCCAAGCUUUCUACCUACCAGGCCACUGUGAGGAUCUGUGUCUCCCCUAUGUGGAUCCACCAGGAAAUAUUAUUUAGAAGGUUCAUUUGUCUGGCGGAACUCGGAAUCCAGGGGCCAGUGAGAAGCUUAAUGGGCUCCGGGACUCACUAGUGACAUCAUCAGUGCACAUUCUAGAAACUACACACGGUGGGGGACACUAGGGAGGACGUCCUCCUGUGACCGAUUCUCUCUGCUUCCAAGCUAGUAGGAGUUCAAGCUGUCUGGAGGUUGCAACUAAAUAUAAGGACUAAGCUAUGCUGGGGAUCUCAGGUCUGCUGUUCAGGGGUCCAACCAAGUUCCAAGGAUGUCACGUUCCUAGAUGUACCGUGAGAAUUGAGAAGUGCAAACUGGGAUGGUCUGAGAAGCAGGCUGUUUAAUGCACAGUCCUGUGCCUGGAGCAGGGGCUAGGGGAGGAAACUGUCU
rnacentral:lncRNA from 1 species